CCAAUAGCGUAUAUUAAAGUUGUUGCAGUUAAAAAGCUCGUAGUUGAAUUUCGGGGUUAGUAGGUUGGUCAUGCCUCUGGUAUGUACUGGUCUCACUGAUUCCUCCUUCCUGAUGAGCCGUAAUGCCAUUAAUUUGGUGUUGCGGGGAAUUUGGACUGUUACUUUGAAAAAAUUAGAGUGUUUAAAGCAAGCUAACGCUU
rnacentral:rRNA from 1 species